rnacentral:rRNA from 1 species
CCUACGGGAGGCAGCAGUGAGGAAUAUUGGUCAAUGGACGGAAGCCUGAACCAGCCAAGCCGCGUGAAGGAAGACGGCCCUAUGAGUUGUAAACUUCUUUUGUACAGGGAUAAAAUUGGACACGUGUGCUUUGCUGAAAGUACUUUAUGAAUAAGGAUCGGCUAACUCCGUGCCAGCAGCCGCGGUAAUACGGAGGAUCCAAGCGUUAUCCGGAUUUAUUGGGUUUAAAGGGUGCGUAGGCGGAUUGUUAAGUUAGAGGUGAAAUGUCGGGGCUUAACUCGGGAAUUGCCAUUAAAACUGGUGGUCUUGAGUAUAGGUGAGGUAGGCGGAAUGCGUGGUGUAGCGGUGAAAUGCUUAGAGAUCACGCAGAACACCGAUUGCGAAGGCAGCUUACCAGUCUGUAUCUGACGCUGAGGCACGAAAGCGUGGGUAGCAAACAGGAUUAGAUACCCCGGUAGUC